rnacentral:rRNA from 1 species
GACGAACGCUGGCGGCGUGCUUAACACAUGCAAGUCGAACGAUGACGACCGAGCUUGCUCGGUCUGAUUAGUGGCGAGCGGGUGAGUAACACGUGAGCAACCUGCCCUUCACUCUGGGAUAACCUCGGGAAAUCGGGGCUAAUACCGGAUAUGAGCUCCUGUCGCAUGGCGGGUGUUGGAAAGUUUUUCGGUGAAGGAUGGGCUCGCGGCCUAUCAGUUUGUUGGUGAGGUAGUGGCUCACCAAGGCGAUGACGGGUAGCCGGCCUGAGAGGGCGACCGGCCACACUGGGACUGAGACACGGCCCAGACUCCUACGGGAGGCAGCAGUGGGGAAUAUUGCACAAUGGGCGAAAGCCUGAUGCAGCGACGCCGCGUGAGGGAUGACGGCCUUCGGGUUGUAAACCUCUUUCAGCAGGGAAGAAGCGAAAGUGACGGUACCUGCAGAAGAAGCGCCGGCUAACUACGUG